UAAAUCAACAGCACAUUUUCAUCACUCCAUUCAACAUAAUGUUUCAUAUAUCUGUUUUUACAUAAAGUAUUGCAAGUCUUACAGAAAUUUUCUGAACUAUAUAGUUAUAGCUCAUUUAUUUCUAACACUUUCAAAGCACCUCUUACAUAACAAAUUUUACAUAUUCAUAGGACAGAAUUCGGCCAAAUUUUAGGCUUGACCAUCUUGUAUUCUCAAUGUAUCAAGAUAAGAUUUUCCAACAAGCUCACGAGAAAACAGGCCCUUGAAGUACUCUUUAACUGGAACUUCUUUAAACAAUGCUGGUGUUUGUUCGGUUACCAAGCUAGGAGCUGGGCAUACUUUGCCAUCAAACCUCGGGGAAUGGAAUGAAGCAACUGAAAGUCUUUCCUUCUUAGAGUUUACUGUUGCACGAUGCUCGAUGCUACGAUAUGCACCAUUGGUUACAAUCUGCCACAUAAAUGUACAAAAGUUGAAUUAAAUGGCCCAUUCAUCUUUCUUUCAUUGUCAAGCGAAGUUAAUGUUUAAAAUUUGAAGGUUCCUAAUGUCAACGCCAGUUAAUUACCACCUGUAAGUUAAGCUACAUCAACUUCUCCUAAUGACAAGAGCAAUGGACCACUGACUGAAUGUUUAUUACUUGGAUUGCAGUUAAGUUCUUUUCUUAAAUUGUAAAACAUCUGUUACCUCCAAAAUGUCUCCAACAUUGACAACAAAAGCAUUUGGCAGUGGCUUUAUGGGAACCCACUUCCCAUCCUUCCUUAACUGCAGACCUUCCACUUCAUUAACUUGUAGGAGAAUUGUGAGACCGGUGGCAUCAGAAUGAGGUGUAAGGCCAAUAACUUGCUCUGGUUGAGGACACUGCGGAUAAUAGUUCAUCCUCAUUGAUUGUCUUAUGCCCUCUGUGAAAUCUCUCAUUUCUUCAGCUUUAAUGUUUAAAGCUUUUCCCAUCUGUUCAAGAAUAGCAGACGCUAGAUUUUUCACUUCCAAGGAGUAGCUCUCCAAGGUGUCUCUGCAUAGAACGAAGGUUACCUCAGAAACAUGCUGAAUUAACUGAAAUGUACUGCAACCACUUACAAAAAUUACAAGCAUAAACUAUGAACAAGAGAUGUGACCUGAAAGGAAGAGGGAGUUUUGGGAAUAGGUGAGGCUUUCUUAAAUUAGCUGGCUGGGUGACCAUGAAGAACAGAUCGCCCCAAUCAAGCUUUUGCUCCUCAGAUACAACAAAAGCUUGUCCAAAACCCUCUAUUUCUCCUGGAUACUGCCAGAACCUUUUCUUUUCCUCCAUUGGGAGGUUGAAGAAAUCCUGAAGUUGUGUCUUCAUUUUGUCUAACAACGAAGAGCUUACACAAUGGUUUACCAACUGAAAAAACAAAAUGCAAUUGUAUAGCAGUUUAUGUUAGUUAGAAAACCUUUGUUGAACUACGUAACUGGAUAGCUCUAAUUUUUCUAGCAUUCAUGCCACUUUUGAGAAAAACUAUAUCAGAGACAAAAACUAAUUAAAAGCAUAAAUCACAUCCGAUUAAAUGCAUCAUCAUCACAAACUUAGUGUCAUUUAUCAAUAUAUCUCUCAUAUAUCAGUUAAACUCCAUCCUAUUUUGUCAGCUCUGAUAAGACAGAUCUCUUCAUGACGAUCAACAACUAACUGAUCAAACUAAGUAGAAAAAAAUGGAAAGGUUAAAAAUUAUGCUGGAUAGAAAACAUUAGUCAAACCAGGUAGCCUUGACAAUCCAAAGGUUCAUGGUUAAGCAAAAAUAAGGAAAAUCUUGGAAUUUAGCCUUCUUUACGAAUUAUAGGGGAACAAUCUGCUAAGGUAGUCAUCUCGCAAAAUGCCAAAUAAAGAAAACUAAACAAUAUAUGAUCUAUGUUGUUCACAUACACAUGAACAUGUCACAGCCUGCAUACCAAGCCAAAAUCACAAAGUGUUUUCUGUUUAAGUACUAAUUAUGUCAGUAUUUCUAAGAGCCAUUAACUAUACCGCUUGAGUUUCUUAAUAAUCUCCCUGCGGACUCAAAAUUUUAGCAAUUCAUACAAAUUUCUAAAACUUCAUUACAUUCAACACAAUAAAACUUGCUUGUUAUUCUUCUUCUUUAUCAUAUCCUUUCGGGUAUAGUGGGAUGAAGGUCCUAAAAAUAUAAGGCCGCAGCCCAUAAUGAUAAGAGGGUGACCUCAUGGGGUACCCAAUUAGGAUCCCGAUUAAGUUCAAUUCUAGGCUUAGCCGAAUUGUUCUUUUUCCAUUGCUCUUUUUCAGUGAACCCGCCCCCUGUUUCUGAUUAUCUUGCCAUGUCAUGUCUCUCUGGCUAUAACCACAAAACAGAGAGUGAAAUUGUUCAUAAAGAAUUCACAACGGAAUAUGUAAGUUGAUAAGAAUCCCGGUUUCAAUUAUAGCUUCACGUGUCCAAAUAUUCUUCCUGUUCUUGCUUCUUUCUCUAAUAACUCGAAAGAAAGUUUGUCCAUUCAUAAAAACUACAACAAUUUUCACGACUUGGGUUAAAUUUCGAUAAAGAAAAAAAACCCAAGAAAUGAAAGUGGGUAUACAAGAUGUACCUGGAAGAAACCCCAUGUUUUGCAAGCGAAAUGGAGGCGGCCCAAUUCAGAAUCCAUCGUUUCUUGAUCAAGUAAUCUCUGCAUAUCAAUAACUGGAACCUCAGAUACCGGAUCAUGACUAGCAAUGAUGGGAUGUUCUUGGUCAUAACGGAUGUAUCUUGGUGGAACAGCGACCAAAAGAUCCUUGGCCAAUUCUUGAACACAGGGCACAAGCAGGGAGCUUCCAAGACUUGAUGGUUUGGAUGCCAUGUUUUUGCGCAAUAACUUAGUUAGCUUUUUUACUGAACACCCCUUGUUUUUGCUUUAAAACAUCUCAAGUCAAGGGUUAAAAAGCCCCAAUCCCAAGUCUUCAUGGCUUGCAAUUUUGUCAACUUCAGUUGAACUUGGAUCCUUGCUUUGUCCGUGAGGACCAUCAACCCCAAACUGCCUCCUCCAAUUCUACAAAUUUUGGGUCCUUGUUUUCUUCUUUAUCUCUUUGGAGUCAGAUUUGGAGGCUUGACUUUGUUUAUAUCCGAUGAGAUUGUGCUGGACUAACCUAACUGCUUGUUUCUAGAAUCUGAGCCCACUUUCCACCAUAGUUAUCAGACCAGAUCCGGUAGUUAACCCGGUAAUGAUCGGGUCACGGAUCUUGUGAAUCAACCCGGAUUAAAAACAAAAACACAUAUUAAUAUAGUUCUUUUGACAUAAAAUAUCACAGUAAUAUAUAUGUUAGUAUAAUUAACAAGAAAAUAUAACAUUAACAUAUGUACUAGCAUAAUUAAUUAGCAUCAAUGGAUUAGAAGGUGCAUUUAUCUUCAAAUAAACAAACAUUUAACAUAAUUUAAAGAUAAGGAUAAUAAAAUAACAAGUUGUUCUAGAGAUAUAUAAUUUAACAUAAUAGAUAUAAGGUGACAACAUUCAAACUCUAGUUUGCAUUAGAAUCCAUAAAUCAACAUUUUAACUCCAUUUUGCAUUAGAAUCCAUAAAUUAACAUCUUCAGCUGCAUAAAGAAAAAAAAAGAUUUUAGAAUAUGUUGAACACUUAACACUAAUAUAAUUUUUUUAAAAAAAAAUGGUAAAGUACAAAACCUCAUUGGAAUAACCACAUUUUUUCUACACAACAUUUUUACUUUGGUUGAAUAUAGGCAUUGAGUUCUUCAGUGUCCAUAGGAGCAAAAUUUGAAUCAAAUACCAAUGGAAUUGAGCCAACCUCAUUAAUGCCUAUUGAAACAUCAUCAUGCUCUUGUGUAUCUUCAUCAUCACAGUCAUCUUCAAUCUCAUUAAUAUUUAUCAAAUCUACAACUGAAACAUACUUAAUCAAUAAACAUUAUAGUCAUGACACAAAGUGAAAGAUCAAAUCUUUCAUUACCUUCAUUUAAAGUAUCUUGAAUAGUCAUGGUUGAUAAAUCACGAUGAAAGAUCUCUACUUCUUCAGUUGUUAAAGAUGAUGGAUCAUCUUUUACUAUCCAAUUUUCAGUGUCAGAAAAUGCCUCAAAAUUAAUUGGAUCAUAAUUCCGUCCUUUCGAAUAAUUUCUACAAAAUCAAAGUUAAGGUACACAAUAUAAGUAUCAAUGAUGCUAUGUAAUAAUAUAAAGAACUUUUGAAGAAUUAGAGAAAAGAAAAUACUUUUGUUUUAAUUUCAGAUUAUAGUGGACAUAAACUAGGUCAUUAAGUCUGUGAUGCUCCAAUCGAUUUCUCUUCUUAGAGUGGAUGUGCUCAAAAAUACUCCAAUUCCUCUCGCAUCCUGAAGAACUACAAGUUUGACUUAAAACUCGUAUAGCUAGCUUUUGGAGAUUUGGAGCACAAGUUCCAUACAACACCCACCAUUCAUCUAUAUACAAAAUUAAUAAGUUAGAUUAUAUCAAGAUAAUAUUUUUAAAUUACUUUGAAUAUGAAAAUAAUAAUAUACCUGGAGGUAAAAGGGUGCGAUCAUUUUUCGCAGACACUCUACCAAAGUCAUGUUCUGCAUUCCUAAACAACUUCAUUUCACUUGUAAGCUUGCUUAGCAGAAUUGCAUUUCCAUUUGCAUACUUCUCAACAACAUCUAGAAGUCCGGAAAUGAUGUUUAUAUAUCUAUCCAUUAGAUUGACAUCAUACUGAAAUCGAGGAUUCAACCAAAAUUCCGCUGCAUAAAGCUUCCUAUACAAUUGUCCAUCCCAUCUAUUAUUAAUGAUGUCUAUGAAAGGUUGCACCUUAGUUCUUUUCUUUGAAAUCUCCUCAACAUUUCUUCCUUUGCAGAAUGGAUAGCCUCAUAUAAAUAUCUCAUAGUAGGUCUAUCAUCACUAUCAACAAUUCGUAGAACUCGAACCAAUGGUUCGGUCAUUCGUAUAAUUGAUGCACAUUCUUCCCAAAACGUAGAGUUCAAUACACUAUCAACAAACCUUUUUCCUUUGCUAUCUUUAGCAUAAGCAGAGGAGACCCGUUCUCUAGAUGUCACCAUAGCUCUCAAAUUAUCUUUGUGUACUAAAAUGCUUUGUAAAGUUAUGAAAUUAGUAGCAAAGCGAGUAGGAGUAGAUCUAAGUAUUUCUUUCCCUCCAAUGAACUUCCUCAUCAAAUAUAGUGGAUAACAAUGAUUAUAAAUAUACUUUGUAAUACUAGAAGCAUGAUCAACAACAGAACAAACUAACUAUAGCUUACCAACAUCUUGGAGUAUGAGGUAGAUGCAAUGAGCAGCACAUAGAGACCAAAAUAUUGAAGGAAAUUCUUCCACCAACAACUUGCAAGCAACAACAUAAUUAGAAGCAUUAUCAGUCACCAUAUGCAUAAUAUUUUCAGGCCCAACAAAUAAAAAAACCUCUCCAAACAAUUUAUGUAACAACACAACAGUCUUUGAGGCCUCUGAUGCAUCUACUGUUUUUUAAAAAAUAGUUCCUUUAAGGCAAUAUACUAAGAAAUUAAUUAAAGUUCUCCUCUUUUGAUCUGUCCAUCCAUCAGUCAUUAAUGUGCAACUGGUCUUCUUCCAAGUUUCUCGAUAACUCUCAACAAAAAUCUUCACUUCAUCAACCGCCUUUGCUAGGUAAUAACCACGAAAAGCAUGGAAAUUUGAUCCUUUAUAACUAGGACCCAUGACUGUUAUACCAUCUAUAGCAUGCUGAUAGUAAACAGAGUUUGCAGUAUUGAAUGGCACACAUGCAUCAAUCAUCCAUUUUGCUAUAGCAAGAUCACAUCGUUCGAUAUCUUCUUUGUUUUUCCAACAACUUUGGAGAGACUUUUGAGCACCAUGAGUUGUUCUUGGAAUAAAAUAUGCCCCUAAUGUUAUAUUUUCUUUCUGUUUUCCACAACUUGUAGACGAUUGUUUAACAACACCAGUGAUUUUACUCUUUCCUUUAUUGGCAACCUUCGGUGGUAACAUCAGCUUCUUACCAUCAGCUUCAACAUCAUCAUCGUCAUUGUCAUUAUCAUCAUCAUCGCCUUUACAAUCAUCUUCUAAUUAUCAAAUCAUCCUCCCCUCAUGCUCUCUUUGUUUAGCGCUAUAUGGAUUGAAAUCUGCUUCCAUUUCUCUAGCUCUUCUUUUCUUUUCAACAUUCCCCUGAAGAUUCAGAAGCAUUUGAUGACGAACAUCCGGAGGACAUUUGCGGCAUUGUUCCACUUCUCCUUUAGUUCCAGCUAAAUGUUGCUUGAAUUGAUUAAUGCCUUCACCCGCAAAAACUUUAGCACAAUAUAAGCAUACUAAUUUGGUUUUCUUACAUCCCACACUAAGUUCAGGAGCUUCUCUGCAAUGACCCCAUGCCAAAUCUGUUUUUUCUCUUAUACCACUUGAUGUUAAUAUGAAAAUUGAAGGUUCAGAUGAUUGAGUAGUUGAAGGAGUGUUAUUUGAAGUGCUACCAUGUUAAGAAGCCAUUUUACAAACCUAUAGUAAAUCAAAUCAAACUAACAUGAUGAAUAAAAAGGUUGCAUGUGUUGGAAGUGGUACUUGCAGUGUGCAAUGUAUAUGAAAAAACUUGAAUUAGUAAUGUGACAACAUAUUUCAGAAGAAAGGAUGCAUUGAUCAUGUUCAACUAAUAAUUCGGAUUUAAGGAUAACAGUUUCAGAACAAUUAAUCUAUCACAUGAUGAAUAACUAGACACACCAAACAUUAUUGAUGAACAAUAAUUUACAACAGGAACUAGAAGCAAUUAUUCAACAUGGUGUUAGAUCAGGAAGUGUUACAUUCGGACCAUAUUCACUUCUCAAAUUACCAAUAUUACACACUGUGCUCAUUAUUGGGGGAAAGUGAGCCCAUGCAUAAGAGUAAUUGAAAUAGAAGCAUCUCUCAAACACUAAAACUAAACUGCUGAUGUAGGUGAUGCUUAAUAAAACUCACCUGUCAAAGUUAACCAAACCAAUCCAUGUUUAUACUAAAAAACUGGUCAACUAAGAGAAACAAACAAUCUACAUUAAACUUCUUAGUCCAUAAAAAAUACUAAAAAUAUGUAAGAUACAUUUGCAUCAAGCUAGAAAAAUAAAAGCUAAAUUAAUUAAUUGAUGGCAUAUUUAGAAGACACCCACGCAUAGAUAAACUAAGCCACUUCAGAUUCAUAAGAAAUAACAUAACAAAAUUUGAUUGCAAAUAUAACAAAAUAGCAAGCAUCACAUAAUAUGGCAGUGGCUAAUUAUAACAUUGGAUUUUACAGAAGUUAAAGAAAAUAAAUAAAAAAAACAAAAAAAAACUAUGAAUUGCUGAUUGUUAGGCAUUCAACCGAAGUUGAAAGGACUUAACUAAUGUCAGUAUUCACAGAGACACAUUUAAGCUAAGAGAAACCAUGCUCCCCACUCUACGAAGGAUUGUAAAUUUUAUUUUCACAUUUCAUAAGAUAGGGUAAUUGUUGAAAACUACUAACUCAUAAUCUAAUCACUCAUUUCUACGCAGAAUUAAAAAGUUCUAAACAUACAAACUCUACUUGUUUUAAGAGGUAAUCUUUUGAUUAUGUUGUUCGUCUGAACUGUUUAAUGAUUUUUCUCUACAAUUGUUUAGUUAGUUUCUGGGAAUUGGAAUGGAAAUCAUUAACAGAAAAAAAAGAAGAAAAAGAAUACCAUUAACAAAUUUGAAAUAGCUCUUAAAAACUGAACAUUGUCCACUCAAACUUGAAAGGAACAACAGUUAACUCAAUUUAGCAGCUGUAAUAUUGCAAAAAGAGAAAGUACCUGGCUUAUAACAGUGGAAUCUACCUUUUCUUUCGGACCACUGGUGCAGACUGCUGAGUUCUACAAGAUCAUGACAAGAUCCAGUAAGGGGCUAGAAUAUUCAAAGAAAAAAAAAGAGAGAAAUCCAGCAGAGCUACCAGUAGAAGAUACCAGCAGAAGAAUAUAAUUUGAUUGUUCAAACUGCAAAGAAAGAAAUUAGGGUAAAAAUUUAGCUUUCCUUUUGCUUUCCCAAAUUUCCCGAGACAGGUGAGUUAGUAUAUAUAUUUGGGGUCUCACCUGGGUUAGGCCGGGUCACCUGGGUCAGACCGGGUCUGGCCGGUUUUUUCCUUGCACCGGUCUUUUGUGUUGCCUGGACCGGUCCAGGCCCCGGGUCGACCCGCCGGGCCGGUCCAGGUUUAAUAACACUGCUUUGCACGUGGUUGUAAUACUGCGGUUAAAAUACUAUUUGUUUAAAAUUUAAAAAUACUUAUUUAAAAUUAAUUGUUUUAAUAUUUUUUAUAUUAUUCUGUUUUGUAGUGAGUAAAUAAUUUUUUUUUAAAAAAAAUAUUAAAAGUACAGAGAAUAUUAUAAGUGUUUUAGGUCUGGCAGCCAAGCCAGACCCGCGCCUGGGUCUUGAAACUUUGGUAAAACUGUGUUUGGUUCUGGCAACCAUGCCAAACCCGUGCCUGGAUCUGACACCAAACAUGGUUUGUCAGCCCGCGCUCAGGUCUGGCAUCAAACAUAGUUGCCAGACCCAAGUAGCUUGGGUCUGACGUGUUUUCCAGAUCCAAGCAUACAACAAAUAAACAGAGAAUAAUUAUGCACUUUAGUUGUUAGGAGAGAGAAAAGAAAGAAAAAACACAAACAAUUGAUCACCGGCGGCAAUCCAAUCAUAAUAUCUUUACAUGCACCGCACCAUGUGGAAGAGAACAUAUCUAUGCAUCUAUCUAGACGGUGAAUGACCAGAUGUGGUCACCGAGAGGCGCCUCACGUGCCUCAUUAAUGGCGUGGGCGCCACCCACUUGCUGGAGCGUGUGGAACACACUCCAGCAGCUUAAAAAAAAUAGAAAAGACAACAUGAAAAUACUAAAACGUCUCCAAUGGUCCUCUUAACUACACAUCAUACCCAAAAAUUUUUUAUUGUCGCAAUCUACUGUAAUCUGUGUCUAUAGCUACAGUGAAAACCUCGUACCAUUUAGCUUUCUUUAUAAUUUUAAAAAUUAAAAAUAUAUUAUUUUAAUAUAUAUAUAACACUUUAAAACAAACAGUAACUCUGUGCUUAGCCAUCUCGUCCCUUACUAUGAAUAAAUCUGCGCCCCCAGAGUGUACAACUGGUUUCAAACGGAUAAACCACACCAAACUAGAAUUAUACGUAUGUUUUUCCCGUGGGUAAUUAAUGGUAGCACGAAUUUUAGGGAUAAAACUUGACGACAAUUACAUAUCACGACACCAAUUUUUUUCGUUGGAUGGUUAAUAAUAUUUUUGAAUUAGACUGCACAUCUUCCUAAAUUAAAUUAUUUUUCUAGAAAAUAUCAAGAACACACCCAUUGCAUUAUUUUAGUACAUUCAGAAAAAAUAUAUUUAAAUAUGAGUUAAUUAUAUUUUUAAUGCGAGAUUUUUUAUUUUUUUAUAUUUUAAUGUAAUAUUUUUUAUUUUUUUAUUUAAGUGUGUGGACUUUUAAUUUUUUUUAAUAAAAAAUUUAUGUUAAAUUUCAUCAAAUACAUGUUGUCGUAGUCAUUACAUUGACAAGUUGAUGUAGUUGCCAAGUGUACAUAAAUAUAUUACACUUUAUUUGUUUUCUAUUUGAGUUUAUCUACUUUUCAGUGCUUCUAAUUUUAAAGCCUAACAAAUGUCCAUUUUGAAAUCUUAUAUUGGCCAUAUUAUUAAAUUUUAAAUUAAAAUAAUAAUAGUAAUAAAAAUAUAUUAAAAUUAGAAUAGAAUAACAAUAAAAGGCAUAAAAAGUAAAUUUAUAUGGACCAUGACGAGGUAAUCGAAUGAAAAAUAAAAAACAGAAAGAAAUGGAAAAAAUAUAGGUUUCCAUCGAAGCUUUUUUAUAUAUAGGAGAGUUAACCUCCCUAUCAUUUGAGGAGGUGUUCGGGUUCUUUUGUGUUAGGUUUAAUUUUAGAGUUCUUAAAAUAAUUAAGGGACAAUUGGUGUGAAAGCGCAAGAAAAAAAAAAUUAAUUGAUUAGGUUUUCUAUUAUAAUCCUUUUAUUGAUUAAGGGUAUUAUAACUAACAGGGAGUACAUUAUUAAUUACAUAAUAAUGUAGAGAAUAAAAAAAUAAAAUCCAAUAACAACUUAUGCUCUAUUUUGUUAGAAGAUUAAAACCUACAUUAACAAAGAGAGAAACACGAAGAUAAAUGAGAAGAUUUGAUUUAAAACCAAAAUCUUCGUUUUUUUUUUUAUCAAUUUAAGUUGUGUUUUCUCUAUCCUUACUUUUUAAUUGAGAUUUUGCAUGCAUAUUAAGGUUAUUGAGAAAUGUUUAGGAAUUAGGGCUUUUAUGAUAUUUGAUUUUUUAAAAUCAUUUUUAAGGAGUAAGUGUUAUACUAGUGGAGUCUUAGAUUGAUAGGAAGCCAUUGAACAUGAUUUUAUAUGUUUUUGGUAGAUUAUUUAGGUUUGGUGAACCAGUCGAUUGGUUCCUGGGUAACUGGUAGCCAUGUUUGAAACUAAAAUAUUCUGAGGAGAAUACCAGAGUUGUUCAAACCCGAUCUCUACCAUUCAGAACAAAGAGGACACCUAGGCAAACCCUCCUAAGAAAUAUAAAGCAGAUCCAAUGGUGAACGAAGGAGAAUCAAGCUGAAGGCUAUGGCUUUCCAGAACUCAAUUUUCCAGAAAUAAUGUGAUGGUGAGAUCUCUCAAAUAGCAACAAAUCACUGGUAAGUUUGUAAGGCAUAACCUAGUGUACAACAUACUAAAAACCUAAAUGAAUCCAAUGGUGGAUGGUGAAGUUAUGGCUCUGGCAGUCUGUUUCUCUCAUUGAUCUCUCUCAAACCUUUUCUCUCUUAACAAUUACUAUUUCACUUCUCAUGCUAACAUGUGUGCAUAUAUGUCAUAACAUCUUAUUGAAGUAAACAACUGCCUGAAUUGAAUCGAGCAUUUUUCAAGUAUUGAUUAUAUUUUUCAGUACCUUUAUGGAUAAAAAUAAAUAAAUAAAAGAAAUUGUAACUACAAAGUAGCCCACAAAAUGGUGCCCUUCUAUAGACAUUCAUAAUAUAAAUUAACAUGACAAAAAAAAUCAUCAUUUUCUAGUUAACUAUUCACAUGAUCAAAGACAUAGAACCAUCCAAAUUUGGCUUAAAAAUGGGCCAAAUUGCAAAAAGUAAAUCACAACUUGACCUUUCAUAUGCUUGUUACGUUGCUAGUUGUAACAUCUCUAUAAAGAUGUAAUCGAUAAAAAGUUGCACUAUAUGCACCCAUACUCAAAGAACUCAGUAUUAUAUAUACCAAAUAGGCAGUGCAUUCAUGUUAUUAAGAAACUAAUGUCUCUAAAUUGGACUAAAACUCCCUAAAUUUUGACACUUUAAUUUUAUUGCAUUGCAUUGGUGGUUGGGUGUGAUUUUCAUUUAUCAACUCCAAGUACAAGUAAUUUUUUAUAAGAAAACAUGUUAGAAAACACAUACUAAAACUCUAAGAAGAAAAAAGCAUACCUUGGCAGGGAGAGAGAGGACAGACUAAGAGAGAAUGGUAGAAGGACAACGAGAGCACUGCCAUUAAAGAAGAACAGAGAAAGUGUCAUCCACCUAAAACAAGAAAGAAAGCGUCGACACUAAAUUGGCAAAAAGAGAGAGAAAGAGGAGAGACUGAGAGAGAAUAAUGGAAAUGGUGGGAAUAAAGGAGAAAGCUAAGGAUUACCUCGAUAUAUCUGGCUUAAAUUCACUGAUGGAAAUCUUAUCGGUAUAUUUAUCAGUAUAUAUCCACGUCAUCACAUUAACUGACAGUUUUACUGAUGAAAUAUUUUAAAAACCAUUGGUAAACUGUUGAUUAAUUUGUCAGAAAUCUUCAGAAAUCUUUUUGGAAAACUCCAGAAUUCACGGAUGAUUUUUCAUUUAUUUAUAUUUCCAUUGGUAAAUUACACUAAAUUUUUUCCAAACUCUUUGUAAUUCUCUGACUAUUUUAUAUUCCAUCGGUGAAUCUGUCUGUGUUAUCCAAUUUCAUGAUUUUCUUCCCAAACACUAUGUAACUCUCUAACUAUUUUAUGUUUCGUCGGUUAUUACACUAUCAUUGAAAACUUGUCUGUUAAAAUUAAUUUUUUGAUUUAUCCCUAAGCUCUCUAUAAUUCUCCAACAAUUUAAUAUCUGUCGGUGAUGUUCGUCGGUGAUAUCACACUCACCGAUGAAAUAAAUCACUGACAAAUGUAUAUAAUAAAUUAUAAUUUAUUAGUUCUGUUACUAAAUCCAUCGGAGAUAUAGUUUUUUUUAUGAUCCAUACCCAAUCUAAUUAAACAACAACACCUGCAUUCAUCACUUAAAAAACAAGAACAACUAAUUUAAAACCAUAUUCUUCAACAAUAAACACUUGAUAUAUGUACAAAACAUAAUGCAAUAUUGAACAACAAUAAAUAUCUUAAUUCUAUUACAAUGUUUUAUAUAAAAAAUGAGUUCAAAUCCGAUGUUUAAAUUGAAUUCUCAUCAUCUUUAUUGUCAUUUUCAUGUUCAUCAUCAUCUUCUUCGUUGAACUGAAAUUUUUCGAGCCCUUCAUCUUCAUCAACAUUGGUGUUGUUACCUAUUUUUUAACACACAUAAAAAAGAAAAAAAAAUAAAAAAAAAUACAAGAGCACAUAAAUGAAGAAAGUCUAGGAGAUUGUCCAAGGAAUGGUGAUGGAGGACCAAGAUCACAAAUAAAAAACUUAGAGGACUAAAAUGUAUAAAAUUAGCAACCCAAUUAUGACUGAAAAAAAGCCCCACUAGUGAAAAUAUUUUUAUUUGGGGUAAAAAACAUAAAUUUGGAUGGGUAAGGACUCAAUGAGAAUUUUGGAAGACUUAAUUAAUUUUAUUAAAGACUUAAUUGCAAGAGAAAUCAGUUUGUAGAGGCAAUAUGAGUGUUAAUUAGAAGAAAUUGAAGUUUGGGGAUUGAAAUUAGACUUUGGAAGGUUUAAUUGGUUAAAUAAGGGGCUUAAUUAUGAAAAACAUUUAAAGUUUAGAGGCCAUUUAGGACUUAAUUAUAGAUUUCCAAGACUAAGGACCAACCUUUAAGUGGCAUGUAAUUUCAGGAUAGAAAUUGGUGAAAUCAGGAGCCAAAUUAAAAGAAAUUGAAGAUUUAGUGGUCAAUUAAGGAUGAAAUUGAGCAAAUUAAAAACCAAGGACUCGUUUGUAAAAGGUACUGAAGUUUGGGGCUGACAUUUAAAUUUGGUAGAGGUGCAAUUGCAUACAAUCAAAAGUUAGGAGACAAUCAAAUGUGCAAUUAAAAGGAAUUGGAAAAGGAGGGACCAAAUUAAAAUUGGCCGAAUCACAAAUUAAAAAACCCUAAUUUCUAGGGUUUAACCUAGAAGACGUGUCGUUCACCCACAGUUAAUCUUCUUCCUAAGCAAUUUUAGUUGGUUAAGUAGGCAUCUUCAAGUGAAUGAAUGUGGCGUUUCUGACCACCUGAGGGGCUGUAACCACCACCAUUAAACAAAGAAACACCCUCUCUAUAACCCCGUACCUAUGAAAUUAGACAUUUACACCCCAAUUCUUCCAUAGAAGUCUCCAACAUCUUGUCCCCGAUCAACUUUCCUUACAUUUUUAAAUUCUAGGCUGGUCGAGUUGACACCUUUUGAUGAAUGAAGGUGAAACUACAAGCCUUCAAAUUAAACAAGGUUAGAUCCAAAUAAAAAGUGUGCACAUCUUCUACCAACUUUAGGUGGUCUUAGGCAACGUUGAUGUCAGAGUUGCUCCAACGAGGCCUAAAAAAUAGCCAACCUAUUAAACCAUGACUAUGACACCUAUUUGGAAAAACCACUCACUUUUUCAUAUCUUCACACUCAAAACUUUCUCAAUAGGUUCUUAUCAAGGGUUGACCAAAUUUAUUUCAAAAUUAGAAGGCCAAAAAACAAUUUAUUGGUCUCAAAGUUUGGUAAAACCACCAAAACCAAAACCACCACUGCAAAACCAACCUUGUAUAGAACUUCCAUCUAUUGUUUUUUUUUUGUCUAAAACCCUUUCAUUUCGAUUAGAGCACCAAGAUUUAUCAAUCAUAAUCAUGAUCAAUCUUUGAUUGAAUCUAACAAAAAACCUUAGCCAAACCCGUUAAAUAAACCCUAAAAAUUAGAGUUGAGAGGAGGGGAAAAAAGAGAGAAAGGGAAGAGAGAAACAUUGAGAAAAUAACCUAUUUGUGAGGGUUUACGAGCCUAGCACAAGGGUUUAUUCAGUUUUGAAAGGGCACUAAGUUUAUGAAAUAAAAACUUUACAAAGAAGACAAUAGUUGUUCUAGGGUUUUGAAGGUACAUUUUCUAACCUAAAAGUGGAGUCUAUGUGGCCCGAUUUAGAAGAUUUUGGUUGUCAUUUGGUCUAAAUUUAUAUUUGCAAAUAGGGUGAUAAGGUUUUAGAAUGCUUAAAAGAGUAAGGGCUAUGUUUUUGUUUUGUUGUUAUGAUUUUGAUUCUACGGUUUAAUGUUGUUUUUAGGGUGUGUUUGAUGUUUUUAAUAUGACAAAAGCUUUCUUCUUAGGUUAGUUUUGAUAAAACAAUGUUUGUUUUGUUUUGUUUGAUUAAUGCAUUGUGAAGCAAUAUUAUUGAUCCUAGGUUUACAAGGCUUGUUCGUGAUCAAAAUAUAUCUAGGAAACUAAUUUUGAAUUCAAAUUGCAUAUAUAUAUGUAAGCUAGUUAAGUUUUGGCAGUUAUAGGAAUUGAAACUUUAUGCAUGUUAUUAAUGAUUUAAUGUUAUUUAUUAGUUUUUUGGAUUCAACUAUGCUUGGUAUUGCUAAAGUGGUUUGUGAGGACCAAAAGCAUUGUGUUUAGAGGCCUAAAAGGCCAAAUCUGGGUUUUAGCAGUACUUCAAUUUCUAAAAAAUUUCCAAAUUCUGAGUUCAUGUUUUUUGCAUGAACUUUGCCUUAGCCUCUUAUUUUUGAGUUGUUUUGGGUUAAUUCUUGGCACAUACAUAUUAACUUGUCAUCUUUAGCAAAUAAUCUAGGAUUAAAAUGCAUCCAUAACAUGUAUUCGUGUAUUUAGAUUAUAGAGUUUUUUCAACUACCCAAACACAUUUUGAUCAAAUUGUGGCUUUUGAGUGUUAAUUAAAGAAAAUGGAUGCUUGAUUCUUGAUCUACGCAUGACUAUGAACAAAACGUAUCCCUUGAUAUCAUGAAAACUUGUUUGGUAUGUGAUUUGUGUUUUCUGGGUUUCGGUUUGAAUGUUCAUUGUGCUCUUCAUGUUCUUAGUGUUUGAUUUGUUUUUGUCAAAAAAAUUAUGUUUUCGUGUUUUUUUUUUAGUUUUGAUCUGUUUUUUGUUUGAUUAUUUGUUUUUCUUUAGUUUCAGGUCAAACCAUGGUUUUCAGUUUGGUUCAGGGUUGAACCAGUAUUUUCGAGUCAAGUCGAUUGGUUUUUUUAUGUCGAGUACUAAGACUUUAUUUGGUUGGUUUCUUUUAUUGUUGAGGAAUUUUUGGCCUAAGAGGUUGUUUGACAAACACACUUUUAGGUCUAUUUUGACAGUUUUGUUUUGAAUAAAAAAGAUUUUUUUGCCAAAUAGAGCCCCAAAUAAAUUCCCUAAAAAAAUUUCAAGGACCAAUUUAAACUUAUUUUUGGAUUCCUCACAUAUUUUUCCAGCAAUUUUAUUUAUUAAGAGGGUUGUAGACUUACAUUGUAAGAUGUUGUCCUAGUAUUAAAAUACAUGCUUUUCAUCAAAAUCUCAAAAGGAUAAAAAUUAUAUUUUUAUGAGAAUAUUUCAAUAACCCCUAAAAACUUUAAUUCAUGAGAAUUAAUGGUUAAAAUUAUGGUAUAAAUGUUAGACCUAUAAGUAGGCUAGCUUUUAAAUACCAAAAGUUGACUAGAAAAUUUUCAGAAUUAUUUCAGAUAUUCACCAAUUUUAAUUGAGAGUAUUUUUUACCAUAAUAUACGAGUUGUGAAAAACUCUUUCGCCUUCCAAGAUAGGUGAACCAUGUCAGAGCACCUACAUGGAUUCUUCCCAUAAAUAUUUUUUUGGGCAUACAAGCUUAUAAUGAAUUCAAAACGCUAGAUUUAUUCAUGAGAAUAAAUUUUUAUUCUAAGACAUAAACAGACCAUCGGUUAGGAACCCAUCAACACCUUUAAGCCACAUCUAGACCAUACAAUGCAGCUUACCUCAGGUAAAGUGUGCUAGGGGUGUUAAUACUUUUCCCAGCUACAACCAGUCCCUUACCUUAGAAUUUCAUAUAAGAUCAGUCCACUCGGGUCUUCUAAUGACCCUGAACCAAACAAUUAAGUGGCGACUCCUUGAUCCCGACGCUGCAACUUCAUGCGCACAAGUGCGAUAAUCAGUAUGUCCACUAGUAUUCAAUAAAUCAUUUAACUCAUCAACAAUAACAUGAACAUAAGUGUUCUUAAUGACACAAAAAUCAUAAUUUCUUCUAACUCGGUAGAUAGAGUAACUUGAUAUGGAUCAACUAGCUCAUUUAUUUGAAAUACAUCUUCUCCCCUCACUUAAUUUAUCCUUGCCAUCGUUCACAACUUUUAGGUUUGGUUUUUAUAAUAAAUAACCAAUUAACUUUUGUAUAAUCUUUUUUAUAGGAAGGAGUGAAUGUGUAUUACACUUGUUGACAUUGUUUGGCAAACAAAAACAUCAUUAAUGUUGCUAAGUCUACCUCUUUUAUUAAUUUUAACUAAACGAUGGUGAUGAUCCACUCUAAUUCCUUUACCAGUAUCAUAUAAAUAGCCUUUGAAUAAAAAAAUUGUGUUUUGCACCCUAUGAUAUUGCAAUUUAAUCACCUCUUCUAACUUGCCAUAAUAAUCAACUUCAAAUCCAUUGGAAGUUGAUCCUUUAACACAAACCCUAUUAUUAUAGAUAUUUCUACCUUCACCAUAAUCUUCAAUACGGAAGACAUAUAUAUCUAUUGAUAAAAUACCCGUUAUAACACUUGAUCUUUCAUUUUGGACCCAAAAAAGUAAUUUUGAACUUUUAGCAUUGUCUCUCAAGUUGUAUACCUAGUUAAAGAUAACAACCAUUAACGAUUAAAAAAAUUAAAUAAAUGUAUUCUUAUUACAGUUACAAAUAAUUACAAACUUACUUGUGUUUUAUACCAUAUUAUGAAUUGUUCAUCUUAUAUUUGAAAAAUUUGAGCUUCAAUAAGAUUUGGAUUUUGAAAUUAUAAGAAUUGACGAUGUUGUCUAUAAGAAAGUUACUAGGAGUUUAGCCUAAAUGAGAAUACAAGAGAAAAUGAUUCAAGAUUGUAAAAUUGUGAAUUUGACUUACUGAAAAAAAUGUCUCAGUUCAUGACAGUUAAAUAGCACACAAUUACGUGUUUAUCUAAAUUUGAUAUUUGUCAAAUAUCUUCUUGAAACUAUAUUCUUUGACAAUGGUUGUUCAGAAUGAGAAAAUAUUGAAACAUUUCCACCAGAAGACAUUUCACCAACAUCAUCAUGUCUUGGAACACAGUUGAUUCUUGUUUGCAUAUGAGGCUCUAAAUAAUAUGAGAUAAUUAUUGAAAUCUCUUUAACAAUAUAAGUCUCACACAUAUACGCCUUAACAUGCGCCUUGUUUUUAACCUUUUUUUAUUGUUGAACAAGUACCUACAUGGAGGUAAACAUAAGCAUAUAUUCAUUGAAUGACCAAAAGUUAAAAAAAAACACAUUACACACUUAGAAUGAAUGUUAUUCCUAACCUCUAAAAAAUAUACAUCCAUUUGUAUUACACAAGCCUUCUAAUUUUUGUUUUAUACGCUAAGUGUAUAGGCAGAUGCUCUAUUAGAUCGAAGACCGAGAGAGGGAAAAUCAUCUCAAAUUUACAUAUUGUCUCAAGAAUGUUCCUUUCAAGUUGUUCCAUAUGUUGUGAACACAAAUUGUUUGAGAAAACAUUUCUUAAAAAAUAACUAAUCUCUGUGAGUGCAUUUCAUAUCCUUUCUGACAAUAAAUUCCUAUAUGCAAUUGAAAUGAGUGUUUGCAUAAACAUAUGACAGUCAUAAUUCUUCAUUCCAUACAAUCUGCAUUCCUUCAAAUUCAUCAAUCUAGCUAUGUUCGAAGCCUAUCCAUAAGGAAAUUGCAUACUCUUAAACCAUUCGUAAACAAAAAAUUAUGAUUUUUUUUAUCUGAGGUAUAAAUGGAUUUGAGCUUUACGAUACGUACUUAAUCACUAAGUAACUCUAUAUUAUGACACUCACAAAAAAAAAAUUUAUAUUUGUGCUGCUUUUAUGUUAUCCUUUGAUGUUCAUAACUGUGUUAAAAAUCUUUUCAAACACAUAAACUCCCAAAAAACAUUUCACUCCACCCAAUCAUGGGGCACACCAAAACUAGAAAACUUAUGUUUACUGAAUUGAAAAUCAAAUACAAUGUUCUUAUACCGCGAUAUUACAUCAUAUAAUUCUUUACACAAUAGUACAAGCAAUAUAACAUCUUUUUUAGCUUUAUCUUUCAAAAAGUCGUUUCUAUUUUUUCUGUAUCAAUAAUGAUUUGACAAGAACCUUUGGCAAAAAAAAAAAAAGUUUUACCACCAUUUGUUAAGGUGAAUGCUUUAUUGUUUUCCAUAUAAUAUAGAAAAGCUAAUCUUCCAUGUAUACUCCAUCAUAAAACCAUCUCAUACACAUGAAACUUAUUUAUAGUUCACAUCAAAGCUGUCUUUAUUUGAAAAUUUUGUUUCCUUAAGACAUUACAUGUCAAAACCCCGAAUGACUAUAAUUUUCAACCCAUCAAUCAACGGUUAAAGAUAAAUAUCUACAUUCCUACCUGGACUAUAAGGACUGGAUAUUAUUGUAGAUAAGAACAUGAAUUCUUGCCUCAUAUAUAACCUCGGGGGCAAGUUGCAAACUGUUAGUAUAAUUAAACAACAAGAAUAGGGUGCAAUAAAUGACCUAAAUGGAUUAAACUUAUUUGUACACAAACUAAGAUGCACGUUGCGUGGUUUCAUUGAAAACCGAAGAUGCAAUUGUUAAAUUGCUUUCAAGCUUCUCCAUCGAAAAAAUACACAAUUACUCCAUCCUUCGCAUCAUAUGCUCAACUGUUUUUGAAGACAUAGAUAAUCUUUGUAGCCUAGUAGUGAUAGGAAAAUAUCUUAGUUUUUUGUAUGCCAUAAGUGUCAUUCACCUACCUAUAUUGGGUUUAUACCGAGCAUACCUACAUGUUUUACACUCAGUUAAAUUUACAUCUUCAUCAUAAUACAACAUGCAAAAAGUUGGGCACAUAUCAAUUUUUUGAUAUCUCAGGCCAAAGAGUUUCAUCAUAAAUUUGCAGCAUAAAAGUUCUUUUUCAACUUAUUCUUUUCAAGUAAAAUAUUUUUUGCCCAUAUGAUUAUGCUAUCAUAACCGGCUUCACUUAUACCAUAAUCUAACUUUAUGAAAAAUACUCAGGUAAUGAUCGAUAAUUUAUUAUAAUUUGUGUACCCAUUCCAUAAUGGUUCAUUAGAAUCUUUUAAAAGAUAAAAAAAAAAACCUAGUUGCAUCUACAUUUGGUUCUUCAUUUACACAUGAACCUUUACCUGAAUAACAAUAAUUUAUUCUCAUUCCAUCCGUCAUCAUAUUCCUAUAAUAAUUACUAUUAUCAUCGACUUCAUGUAUAUUUCCAGAACUAAAUAUUGAGCCAACAAUCCUUUCUAACAUGGUCUCUGUGUGCAAAUCAACACAAGUAUUUUUCAACGAACCCUUUUUUUAGGAAAUGCAUCAUCACAACAUCUGAUUUUUUUGUUUUUACACUUCACAUAUAAACAUCUAAUUUUGCAUCCACUAAUAUUCUUUGGAUUUGAAAGUGUAAAAUUAAUAAAACUCUUAACCCCUCUAUAAUAAUCUUCCCUAAACACCCCUUGAGGUAAAUCUAGAUACAUUCACAAAUGAUCAUUCAUUACUUAGAAAACCUAUAUAGAUUAAUGAUGAUGACAUUUAUUAAUAAUGUAACAAUAAAUUCAAAAUAUAACUUUGGUAAUUAAAAAUUAAUUCACAAUCUAAUAAUUAAUUAUUAUUUUUGUACAAAAAAUAUAAUGAUGCGUAAAAAUAUCAACUAAAUAAAUCCAAUUAAUUGCAAGUAAUCAAUAACCCAACUAGUUAUUUAUCAUUUGUUCAAUUCAAACUUAUUCAAUCUAAAUUAAUAUAAUUUAAUUAUUUUCAAUUCCAUAAAAUAUCAAUUUCUCUAAAAUUUUCAACUUAACAAUAAAAUUGACAAAAUAUGAUUGUUACUAAUUAAAUAACUCAUAAUUUCUUUUAGUAUAACACACCUAAGUUAUAAAAUCACAAUCAAUUAUAUCAAAUUACAAACAAAUUCAAAUUUGCCCAAAUCACAAACAAACCCUAAAUAGAAAUCAAACUCUAAUUCUCUAUGAAAAGGUUGUAAAACACUAAAAUACACAAGCAAACUACACUACAAAUACUAAAAAACAAUGAUACAUUAACUUAAAAUAUCAAUAAGUAGGUUUUCUUACUUGGUGUAGAGAGUAUUUAGAGAAAAUUGUAUUAAGACAAUGAUGUAGACACUAUGAAAUGUUGGGUGGUUGAAAUUUGUAAUGAUGAGACUUAGAUUUGUACCAAAAUAGAAGGGAGAGGUUAUUGUUUUGAUUUGCAGAAACAGAAUAAAAAGAAGGGGAUAAUGAGGAUGUUGCCGAUUAUAACACUUUUAGAUCUGCCGAUGAACUUGUCGAUAAAAUAUAAUGAUGAAAUAUACUGUCGGUAAUUCUAUCGGUUAUUGAUGACAUGUCAUUUUGAAGAUGGAUUCAACUAUAGAAAAUCUUUUUAUUUUUUUAAUUAUUUAGUCUAUUUGUAUUUACUGACAAAAAUAAUUUUGUCGUGAUUAUAAUCAGGAAUUUCCAUCGCUAUAAUCAUUAGAAGUACCGAUGAAAAAUAUUUUGUUAAUAAUUUCAAUGGUACUAUAUAAUUUUUUGGUGGUGAUAGUUAUAGUUUACCAAGCUUCACACAUAUGCUGAAACUUGGGAAAAUUAAAGAGCUCUGAAAAUUGUUGUUUACAGUUUAUAAAUUUUAUUGCUUAUGUGAUUUAUGGGUAGAAGUUAAUUGUAAUUUUUUAGUUAACAAAUAAUUAAGAUUUAUAUAUAAUAAGGAAAAAAUGUUUUUUAGGAAAAUCUAAAAGUUUUUUUUUUUUAGAACUUCUUUUUAUCGUGAUCUUUUUACUUUUCUCCUAGAUUAUGCAGACCUAUGUUCAUAAAAAUAGAUUAUCAACAAGGUAUGCACUAAGCUAUAAAAGACUUUUAUUAUACUUAAUAGCUUCUUUGAAAGUGUGGUUAUGGUUGUUUUUCACUUGAAAAUAUACUAAAAUAAUAUUUUUUUUAUUUUUAAAAAAUUAUUUUUGACAUCAGCGUAUCAAAAUGAUCUAAAAAUAUCAAAAAAUAUUAAUUUGAAGCAAAUAAAAAAAAUUUAAAUUUUUUAAAAAAACAGGACAAUGAUAUUUUUUUUUUAUUUCACCUAUAUAAACGACAGCAUCUAAAUGCAAUAAUAUUUGUAAAAAAUUCAAUGAGAAACAUUAUAGGUGUAGAAACACCGAAGGUGCGAAAGAGACAAUAAUGGAUAAUCUGCUAAUAUUUCUGCAAAAAAAAUAAUAAUAAAAAAAAACACGAAAUUGAAGCAGUAAAACUAUAUAUUGUGAUAAUCUCCAUCCUUAUAUGAUAAAGGUUCAGAAAAAAUGCGCUAUGUGUUGCCUUAAGGAGACUUGAUUCGACUAUCUUAGUUAACACUGAAGGCAGGAGGCUCCCUUGAUUAGACGUUCAACUUUAAACGCUUGGCCCACAAUGCCUCAAGGGCAACAUCCACAGCAUCUUGAAACCCUAGAUCAGUCGCAUUAGGGUGUGCAUAGGUGAGUCUCGGCAUCAAAUUUAUUACUGCGCUUCUCAUUCUCUCCACCUGCUCUCUCUCAAUCUUGAAAAGCUCUUCCUCAAUGCUAACUACCCUUUUGCUUCCAUUUCCCGUCUUCAAAGCAUUUUCAUCUAUGUAAACUGAAUACUCUCUCGCAUCCCCAGCUGGAAAAAACCACUCAUACUGAGUAUACACAGUGUGAGGUGAGAAAAACACAGGUAUGCAACCUGCCAACACUGAGUCAAAAGUUGACCUCCGAGUGAACGAGUCACCGGGAGCUUGCAAGCAAAACUGGGACUGAGACAUCACCUUAAGUACCUCAAUUGGGUAAUGGCAUUUACUGGGUCCUUUCCCACAUUUUAGAAGCUUGCAUCGACCUGACUCGCUGCACUGCCUUAUUAACUCGUCCCUUACAGCAGCUUUCUCAACUCCUCUACGUGGCCCCCCUAUAAAGGAGAAGAGGUGGGGCCUACUUGAUUGUCUCAUCUUGUUCUGCCACGUCAUCAUCUCGUGUGACGUGUACGGGUGGAAAUAGGAAGGGUAAGGGAUGCCAUGUUGGUUGUGGACUCGAUCCCAAGGGUUUCGCUCUACAGUCAGCACCGACAUGUUUUGCACGUCUGGCAGAUUUAGGAGAGAGUUUCCAAAGUUGUUAUUUCUUCUCAAGAAAUCCCAUGCGGUCCUUCCUAGGACUAAGAAAUGGUCCUUACCGUGAUGCCUCUCCCACCAUGGUUUUGAUCGGAGAUAAUCUGCUAAUCGGACGGCUAGUUCAUCGCGUGCCGUGAGAUUUGCAUCGUGGAACUUGCUUGAGGCAUCGAGUCCACCAUAGAAUGGCACGUAGAAUAGCUUGGCAUUUAUAGGAUCCAAAACACGACAUGGAUGGUUCUCCAUACGAGCGUGAAAAAUCAUCUCCGCAAUGAACUGGUGGGUGGCAAACCAUGUGGUGGCGACGGCGGACUCUGCCAUGUAGGAGAGUGGUUGGCCUAAUCCGCGAUUUGCCACAUGAGGACACAUGUCAGUGUAAGGAUUUAGAUGGCUGCAAUCUUUAAGUAAACCCUUGUUGAACUCAGCGGGCAUGUCAUAUAAAUACACUGACAUUCCUCCUUCACACUUGGAUAUCGCAGAUGAUUUCGAUGUUGUCUUGGGCGCCUUUUCAUCUACGUUUAGUUUCUCGAUGUUGUUUUCGCUCGUGGAGGAGGACAAGAGAAAACAUCUUAGAAUAACAAACCAAACAGAAAGCAAGAAACAGAGUAGUAGAGCGUGUCUCAACUGUGGUUUAAGAAACGAGUAAUGUAUUUCGUUGGUUUUAGAGUACUUCCCUUUCUCCGUCCAUGGAGAUGCAGACGAUAUAGAUUUUUUCUUGACAACCAUUGCUGUAGAUGUCUCCGACCAUACAAAGCGAAAGGGAAGGAGAAGGAUUGGAAGGGUGGGGAGUGGAAGCCUUUCUGUUUCAAACAGGACAGAAAAAGGGGAUGAAACCUCUAAAAAUGGUGGCCUGAGUGACAGAACAAGUCAAAGACUGGUGAGCUCCAUGGAGUUUGGUGAGGACAAAAUUUCCAUUAAUGAAAGAAGGAAAAAGUUGUCGUCCCCCCGAAAAGAAAAGGAAAUAAAGAUGGAAAACAUAUUAACACUGGGACAAUUUAUGGUAGACGAAUCGGAAUAGGACAAGUUUCCAUAUAUAUUCAUGAGCAAUCUCCAUUGACGUGCCCUAAUCUCAUCAAAUAUAUAUCCAAAAACAAGGAUUUACUAUUUACUCGGAGUUUAUCUACCAUAAUUUGGAUUAGAAAAUCGAGUAGAAUGGUUGAAUUCUCCCGGUAAUCAAUGCUAUAUAUAAUCAAUACGUGCACGUCAUCACUCAAAUUAAUUAUGCGGUGGUAUACACGUUACUCAAAUUAAUUAUGCGGCGGGCCCUGAAAAAAUCAAAAUUCUUCUGAUAUUCAUUUUUCUGUGGUUGGUAACUUUCAAUCAUUGACCAAACAAACAUGUACCUUUCAAGAUUGAAGAUCAUUCUUCAAUAUUGAAAUAAUCAGCGAAGAGCACUUCCAUUCUAGAGCUCUGCUGGCCCUCUGAUGAUGAUAUCUUAGGUUUCCUGCAAGUCAUUUUCCCAGCAAUGCUAAAACGGAUUCACAAGUCCAUUUCCAACACCCUGUCUGUUGUCCCACUGCAGCAGACCCUCCCAUCUUCAUAUGAUUGCUUCCAAUUAAAAUAUGAACCGACGGGCACUGAAAUUUCUCUACUUCAAAUAAUUAGUUUCAUGACAUUCUUUUUUUAAAAAAAAAGAUAUAUACCCUAUUUCAAAGUGUUUUUUUAUAUAAAAAAAAUCAAAGUAAAUAUUAAAAAGUUUAUACAAGUAUCUAAUUAAAUAAAUCAAUAACUUUCCUUAUAAAUAAAUAUAAAAAAAGUCAUUAACAAUAACUAUAAAAAAAUUUUAAAAAUUAAGAAAUGAACUUAGAUCAAGAUAUUUAAUCCUAUAAAACAAGAUAUUUGCUUAUUUAUGUUUGUUGAAUUUGAUUAUUAAAAUCAAUAAAAGAUAAUAGAAAUAGAAACACAUAUGGAACUAAUUGAGAAAAAUAAGAUGAAAAAAUAUUACGCAAAGCCGGACAUGUUAUAAAUAUUAUUUAAAAACAAAUAUUUUUUAUUUUUAAAAAUAAAAUUCAUCUAUAAGAAACAAAAAAAAUUAUAGAUGAAUCAUAAUAAUAUCUUCAAAAAUUAAACACAAACAAUUUUUUUAAGAAAGAUUUUUUCUUCGUAAACAUUGUAAAAGAUUGCCCAACAAGAGAGGGCAUCUAUUGUUACCCAUUUUUAACCCCACAAAAAAAUAUAGAAAAAAAAUCCAAAAAAUUCAAGAGGAUGCACUUGAAAAAAGCCUAAAAAAUUUUACAAGUUGGUGCUGAAAGACCAAAAUAACAAAUGAAAAAGUUGGAGGACUAGAAUGUACAAGAUUGACAAAUUAGCAACCCAAUUCUGAUUGAUAAAAGGUCCUAUUGGUGAUAAUAUUUUAUUUGGGGUAAAGAAAUACUAAUUUGAAUUAGUAAGGAUUCAAUAAGGAUUUUGAAAGGCUUAAUUAAUUUUAUCGAGAACUUAAUUGCAAGGAAAAUAAGUUUUUUGGAGUCAAUUUGAGUGUUAAUAAAAAAAAAUUGAAGUUUAGAAACUGAAAUUAAACUUUAAAUUGGUCAGAUAUAUGAAAACAUUAAAGUUUGAUUGCCAUUUAGAGUACUGCCAUCGUUUUUCCAACAGCUCCCAAUGUCCAUCAGGUAGAACUGGCUUCCUGGUCCACCUCCUUGUGUAAUGUUUAGCUUGAAUUUUACUUUAAAGUUUUGUGACUUUGGCACCUGUAUGAAUAUAUGAAAUAUUUUGAAAGUAUGAUACAUUGAUUAAUCAUUGGAUUUUGACAAGAAUGAUGUUAAAAUCUGUGUACUGUGUACUUAUCUAAGAAUUUGAAUCUGCAAUUUUCAAUUGAAAAGUCCAAAAUUCAGAAGAACGAGUAUGAGAGGAGAACGAAGGAAAAAAACAUAACUUACUAUUUUUGACAUGCCCCUUGUUUGGUAGUGAUAACCACCGGAGAAUCCUUUGGUGGCAUCCGAUCUUAGGUAUAGCAUCAACCAUGGAUACUUUGAGGAUGUUUUCAAGUAGAAAUGAAAGACCCAGCUUCCUUUCCCUAACUCCUUUUGCCAAGUGACAUUGAAAUAAGAGGUGCUGUUGUCGACAACUCCACUCUUGACAUUAGCAUCCAAGGUAUUGUUUCCAUGCACACCGGUAUAAUUAUGGUACAUCUUGGGCAUGUUCAUCCACCCUUCUCCAAAGCAUGGAAAACGAGAUUCCGGUGCAAAGGGCUCUGAUUUCUUGCCAUUUUCGGGGCAUCUAGCAGCUAAAGUGUCCAUGUUACCACUCUUGAGCAUGAUCAUCCAGAAUUGCCAUGGUUUCGGAUAGUCCUUUACUUGGCAUUUGUUACCCAAGUACAGCUGCUUCUUAGGCGCAUACCUGUCAUAACUUCUGGCCUUUAUUCUUCCGUAGGUAUCAUUCAAUAAGCCCAGCCUGUUCUCAUCCUCACUCACCUUGUGAAUUAAGUUGACUUCAUCAAGAAUCAUGGAAAGAAGAAAGGAAAAGAGCUUAGCAACCAUAUACUAACAAAAAAGUCCUAUCACAGAAAACAUAAUCCUAUGAUUUCAAAGAUCUUGUUGUUUCUUCGGGCAUCAAAUGCAAAAAGUCUGUCAAAUGAGUUACAAUUUAAAACAUAUUUUUAUCUCACGUUAUUAGUCUUUCUUUAGUUAAUUGGUAACAUGCAGAAACAUGGAAUUGAGGGGCCUCCAAACUUUUUGUUAGUAUUGGUCAUUCAAGGGAAAAAGAAAUAAAUAAAUAAAAAAACUCGGAAUGAUCUUCCAUAGUCGGCACUCCUUUCCUAAACAGAAAUAUGCACUGACCUAGAUGCAUGAAGCCCAAAGAGCAUGGUGAAAUUCCAACGAGUAAUGUGAUAAAAACACGUGGACUAAGUAAUUAACAGAUACUAUUAGUAGAAUUACAUUGUUAAUUAGGAUUAAUAGGGUUUGUUCGGCCAUGAUUACAAGCUUAAGUAAAAUAGUUUUUGCAGAGAAAAGGUUUUAAGAAAAAUAUUGAUAUUAAUCAUGGAAAGCUUCUCUUAUAAUGAAUCCGUAACUUUGGCUUGAAUCUGUGAAAGGGUUAAAAAAAAAAAACAAUCCACUAGUUCCUCGCGUUCUUUUCUUGCGAAAUUGUAUUCAUAAUAAGUAACAGCGCAAAGAUGUAGAGGAACUAAACAUUUCUCACCAGAUGAUGUAGAAUGGUCAACAUCAAAGCAAUCUGCCAUUCUUGGACUUCCCAUGUUGACAGCUUCUUCUCCAACCUCAUUGCACUGAUUCCAUGCCUCAAUUGCCACCCUAAGGCCAUCCCUUCGCAUCCCUGGAUCACCAACAGCCGAUAUAAAAUCAUCAUUGCAAGCCAUAACUACAGAAGUGAAACAAGCAAGAAAAAGGAGUUGAAAAAAUCUCAAUGUGUCCAUUGUCAUCUCUGUAAAGUUGUGCAAAAGAAAGUGCUCCUUGAUUAUUCGAGGGCAAUACAAUUUGUAUAUGUGAGUACUUUAGCCUUUCUGUUCUAUUCAUCAUUGAAUUCUAGCUGAAGAGAAAAUCAGGUAAUGCAUCACGUAUCUAGAAGGAUAAUGGUAAUAUAAAUCUGGGUAAGGAUGAUAGUAAGUUGAGUUCUUGUAUAACUUCACCAGGUGAAAGCUAUGCUUCCUAGAUCAAGCAGUAUCCUACGGCAGUGGAACAUCGUUGGUUUGUUUGGACUCGGCAACUGGGUUGGCUAAGACAAACGUAAAUGCCAAACUUAUCCAUUUCUAAAUGGUAGCUCAUGUCAUAGUAGUUAUUGUGUUGUAUUUCUCUUUCUCAGAUCAAUCCCGCUAGUCUCCGAUUAGAUUGGGUUUGAAGCUUAGUUGAACCUUUUACUCUUCUCCAGAGCCAUUCGAAAGCAUCGUGAAUGCAUCAAUGAUCCCAUAUAUAUGUAUGCCGAGUACAUGGGACUAGGAGCCAAAAAAUUCAAGGAUUUCAUCUGCCAAUCAAUACCAGAAAAGUUCCCCUCUCAAUCUGUAAAUUGCCUGACAACACAUCCUCAACAGCAAACAUAUAUAUAUAUAUAUAUAUGUUUUCCCUUUUAAACAAGCUAUCAAAUAAAGGCAUUCUGAAAACUUAUCCCAUCUUGCACUAAAAAUUCAAGAAGUUCAGCACAUAAAAUUGCAAAUAAACGCAUCAUCUGCCUUCGUAUUCCAAAUUCUAUCAUAUUGUUCGUAUAACAGUGUUGGUCCGAUUCCAUAACAGCACAUUUCGUCACCCCAUUCAACAUAAUGUUUCAUAUAUCUGUUUUUACAUAAAGUAUUGCAAGUCUUACAGAAAUUUUCUGAACUAAUAGUUAUAGCUCAUUUAUUUCUAACAACUUUCAAAGCACCUCUUAUAUAACAAAUUUUACAUAUUCAUAGGACAGAAUUCGGCCAAAUUUUAGGCGUGACCAUCUUGUAUUCUCAAUGUAUCAAGAUAAGAUUUUCCAACAAGCUCACGAGAAAACAGGCCCUUGAAGUACUCUUUAACUGUAACUUCUUUAAACAAUGCUGGUGUUUGUUCGGUUACCAAG
rnacentral:lncRNA from 1 species